rnacentral:rRNA from 1 species
CCUACGGGAGGCAGCAGUGAGGAAUAUUGGUCAAUGGGCGGGAGCCUGAACCAGCCAAGUCGCGUGAGGGAAGACGGUCCUAUGGAUUGUAAACCUCUUUAGUCGGGGAGCAAUGCCGGGCACGCGUGCCCGGCGGGAGAGUACCCGCAGAAUAAGCAUCGGCUAACUCCUUGCCAGCAGCCGCGGUAAUACGGAGGAUGCGAGCGUUAUCCGGAUUUAUUGGGUUUAAAGGGUGCGUAGGCGGAUUUUUAAGUCAGCGGUAAAAUGUCCGGGCUCAACCCGGGCCGGCCGUUGAAACUGGGGAUCUUGAGUGGGCGAGAAGUAUGCGGAAUGCGUGGUGUAGCGGUGAAAUGCAUAGAUAUCACGCAGAACCCCGAUUGCGAAGGCAGCAUACCGGCGCCCUACUGACGCUGAGGCACGAAAGUGCGGGUAUCGAACAGGAUUAGAUACCCGAGUAGUC